UACAGAGGGCCCAAGCGUUGUUCGGAUUCAUUGGGCGUAAAGGGUGCGUAGGCGGCGCGGUAAGUCGGGUGUGAAAUCUCGGAGCUUAACUCCGAAACUGCAUUCGAUACUGCCGUGCUUGAGGACUGGAGAGGAGACUGGAAUUUACGGUGUAGCGGUGAAAUGCGUAGAUAUCGUAAGGAAGACCAGUGGCGAAGGCGGGUCUCUGGACAGUUCCUGACGCUGAGGCACGAAGGCUAGGGGAGCAAACGGG
rnacentral:rRNA from 1 species